CAGAGUGACUUUAUUUUAAUAAAACGAAUUUACUCUUUAUUGGUUGUAGAAACAAGUUUAUUUUUAUGUGGCCUGAAUCUAGUACAUUGGAGUUGUAGAAACAACAUUUAUUUUAUGUGGCCUGAAUCUAGUACAUUGGAAGUUGGAAUUUGGAAUGUGUUUUAUGUAGAGGGUAACACAAUGUACUUUUAUUUGAGGCUCUCAUACCCAACAUUCCGGGGAUAGGUGAGCUAGCCAAACCAUGUUUUGUUGAGCCUGUGACGCUUAAAUAAUUAAGCCACACCUCGUUUGUUAUUGGUCAAUGGGGCUUACGUAAUACUCAAAUGUGAAUUUUAAAUAGGCAAUGAGAAGCCUGAGUGGACAGAAUAAACUUAUCAUGUUAAUUUAUGCAUAGGACUAAUUUUAUUUUGGGUAUACAAGCGUGGGCAACUGUAAGAGAAAGGACUUGCUAAGAGAAAUUCCGAGUAGAAGGCAGUGGCCAGACUCGAAGUGAUUUUUGAGACUAAGAAGCCAAGGGAGAUAGGGCAAUGCAUAGCCAGCCUGCAGCAGAGCUAAUGAGAGCUCAUUGAGUCUGAACUAAUAAGAGUUCACGAACCAGCGUAUAGAAAAUUCAGCAGCGUAUAAGCCAGGAGUCCUUCAAUUCCUGGCUUUUGAUCUUGGUUUUGGGAUUGCGUCCCCGUGACCAGAGGAGUGAGACCGGACUGCAGCGGCGGGACCAGAGGACCGUGUGGACUCCGCUGGCCUAGUGGGAAAGCUACGGGCAUAGAGCAUUUGCUGGACACGAGACAACAAGAGACACUCGGACACUUCUUUUCUAUGCUGUAACUAAUAUUUGUGAUUGUACUAAAUACUGGAAGUUGCCCCUUAAUCUGAAUUCAAUAAGGAAUAUAAAUCGUGUGUAUGAUAAGUCUGUAAAUAAAUAUAAAUAUUGUAAAGAGAAGAGUGAA
rnacentral:lncRNA from 1 species